AUAUAUAUAUAUAGGCUGGGGCUACUAUACUCAUAUGAGUAUAGAGUCUUUUGUACUCAUAACUUUUCGGCCGUUCAGAUGAAAAAAUGUGCGGUUGGGAUGAGAGUGGUUACGGUUAGAUUGAUAGUGGGCUCCUAGGGUUGAGUGGGUGGUUGGUUGAAUAGUAUAAUCUAACGGGUGAAAAUGAUUAAAGGGUAGAUCAAACAGUAAAAAAUUUAUGAGUACAAAAGGCUCAAUACUCAUAAGAGUAUAGUAGCCGGACUCUCUCUCUCUCUCUCUCU
rnacentral:lncRNA from 1 species